GACGAACGCUGGCGGCGUGCUUAACACAUGCAAGUCGAACGGAAAGGCCCUGCUUUUGUGGGGCGCUCGAGUGGCGAACGGGUGAGUAACACGUGAGUAACCUGCCCUUAACUUUGGGAUAACUUCAGGAAACUGGGGCUAAUACCGGAUAUGAGCUCCUGCUGCAUGGUGGGGGUUGGAAAGUUUCGGCGGUUGGGGAUGGACUCGCGGCUUAUCAGCUUGUUGGUGGGGUAGUGGCUUACCAAGGCUUUGACGGGUAGCCGGCCUGAGAGGGUGACCGGCCACAUUGGGACUGAGAUACGGACCAGACUGCUACGGGAGGCAGCAGUGGGGAAUAUUGCACAAUGGGCGGAAGCCUGAUGCAGCAACGCCGCGUGCGGGAUGACGGCCUUCGGGUUGUAAACCGCUUUCGCCUGUGACGAAGAGUGAGUGACGGUAAUGGGUAAAGAAGCACCGGCUAACUACGUG
rnacentral:rRNA from 1 species